rnacentral:lncRNA from 1 species
AUCCGGAUCCAGAUUUUAUUAAAUUGAAAUACAUUGAUAUAUUAACUCUUACUAAAUCAGAGGAGUCAAUCCUAUAUUGACUCAUGCAUCGAUUUGACAAAUACUUGACUGUAUCCAUAAAUCUUUUAUUACUGAAUUAAAAAUUCAGAUAGUCUGAUACCAAAGUAUAGUGAGUUGCUUGCAAGUCACCGUGAUGAUCUCAGGUUGGAGGGACACUUUUACCGAUAUACUUCGCGAGUAACUCUUGACAGCAGAGUGCUUCGUAGUUGGUCACGUUCAGUGACGAUGUACUCCUACAUCUUACCUGUAUGCCAUACCAAUAUCUUCACACCAUUUGGUUAUGAGGACAAUCAAUGUAUAUAGCACACAACAACCUACAUUUGAUAUCGCUAUCGUCCUAAUAAUAGCGUAUCGUUUAGUCAUGAACCAGUUUAAGAACUAUACAAUAAAUCUUUCUUUAUCGAUUAAAAUAGUCCUAAGAACUUCACAUAAUACAGGAGUUCGUUAGAAGAUGCAACUUUAUGAUGAAAAAGAUCAAAUAAUUUUUAUUAUUGAUCAAUUUAUAUAUAUUUAUAAUUAGCAUAAUCAUCAAAUGAUUAGUUUUAGGAUAUAUUUUUCAACAAAAAAUAUGAACACGUACAUCCUUAUAUUCGAGAAAUAACUUGAGAUACUCCUUUCGUCUGAUUUUCAGACUCAGAAGUAGGGGGUAGUGUUACGAUAGUAUCCUAAAUGCCUCAGAUCUAGCAUGUUGUCUUUGAUACCUCAGAUCAGUGGGUUAUCCACACAGUCAUCGGCUCAAGCGCAGAAUUGAGGUACGUAGAGUAGAACUAUUUAUUUCUGAUCUAUGGUAUGGGCUAUUUGCCUUGGCUAGCCUUCCAUAGCCUCAAUCGAUCUGCUCCCGAGCACGUACUGUAGCUGUCCACCCCGAGUGGAUAGGCUCAAGCAUAACCAACUCUCCUGAUUUUGCAGGAACGAUUAAGGGCUGAAAUAUCUCGACUACUACGGCAUGUUAAAUUGCCCUGCAAUCUUGAAAUUGUAUGAUCUUACAACUAUUCAACUAGCUAUUUGAUGACAUUCUUUAUAAAUCACCAAAGUCUCGAGGAUCGAGGUAAGUUAAGCAAUCUCUCUCAGAGACUCUGUUGCUGCUCUCUUUGUUCUCUAAAUCUGACUUGAGCAUCGGAGGAUCCUUGUAGGAGCGAAAAUCUUCUGUUCGGACUUUUUUUGCAGGUCACUCUAGUACUCCCUGCAUGAGGACCAGACAUCCAUUUUCUGACCUAGUCGAAACAAGCAAAAGCAAAGCCUAAUCAAACCAUUUGUAGUU